rnacentral:tRNA from 1 species
GGGGUUGUAGCUCAGUGGUAGAGCACUUGCCUGGCAUGUAUGAAGCACUAGGUUUAAUCCUA